rnacentral:rRNA from 1 species
AUUGAACGCUGGCGGCAUGCUUUACACAUGCAAGUCGAACGAGUGGCGAACGGGUGAGUAAUAUAUCGGAACGUACCGAUUCAUGGGGGAUAACCACUCGAAAGAUUGGCUAAUACCGCAUAUUAUUCGAGCGGCCGAUAACUGAUUGGCUAGUUGGUGGGGUAAAGGCCUACCAAGGCGACGAUCAGUAGCGGGUCGGAGGGGUCGAUCCGCCACACGGGGACGGGGACACGGCCCAGACUCCUACGGGAGGAAGCAGUGGGGAAUUUUGGAAAAGGGGGGCAACCUUGAGCCAGCCAUGCCGCGUGUAUGAAGAGGGCCUUCGGGUUGUAAAUUACUUUUGUUAGGGAAGCGGUACCGAAAGAAUAAGAACCGGCUAACUACGUGCCAGCAGCCGCGGAAAUU